rnacentral:lncRNA from 1 species
CUACAGCGGUGUGGGGAGUGGAGGAAGGAGGACCAGCCUGGUCGGAGAGAUGAAGUCCUGCAACUAGUGAGGUACGGUCACCCGACAACCUACCCAUUUGAUCCCAUCCUCCAUUCUCCUGACCAUCUCUGGAUACCUUUUACCAUUCCUCACUUCCCUAUCAACUCAUCCCUGACCACUGGUUGCAUCCCCUCUGACUUCAAAAUGGCCCGAAUCGCUCCCAUCCUCAAGAAACCAACACCCGACUCAUCUGACGUCAAAAACUACAGACCAGUAUCCCUUAUUUAUUUUCUUUGCAAAACACUUGUGUGCUGUCUCUGACAAACUAUCUCACUAUCUCUCUCAGAAUAAUCUUCUUGACCCUAACCAGUCAGGUUUUUGUCCUAGGCUGAAAGGCUUGCCAAGAACCAUUACUGUUUACAGUUGGAAUGAUCAGUACACAGGUAUCAUUUUUCACCUCAUAUGUUACAACUUUAUUCUCCUCAAACAAGGUCUCUUUGUGUUGGACAAAAAAACUUGACCAUGUGUUCUGUAGACUGAAAAUGUACCCUGGAAAAUGUAUUAACAGGAAAAGUAUUUUUGUCUUAGUUUAACCAAGAUUUCAACCACAAAUUGGAUGGUUGAUCUGACAUCUUUUCAGACUUCCCAGAAUGGGCUCAUUGUGCUUUCCUCAGUGGUGUCUUCAGUAG